CCUACGGGAGGCAGCAGUAGGGAAUCUUCCACAAUGGGCGAAAGCCUGAUGGAGCAACGCCGCGUGGGUGAAGAAGGUCUUCGGAUCGUAAAACCCUGUUGUUAGAGAAGAAAGUGCGUGAGAGUAACUGUUCACGUUUCGACGGUAUCUAACCAGAAAGCUACGGCUAACUACGUGCCAGCAGCCGCGGUAAUACGUAGGUGGCAAGCGUUAUCCGGUUUUAUUGGGCGUAAAGGGAACGCAGGCGGUCUUUUAAGUCUGAUGUGAAAGUCUUCGGCUUAACCGGAGUAGUGCAUUGGAAACUGGGAGACUUGAGUGCAUAAGAGGAGAGUGGAACUCCAUGUGUAGCGGUGAAAUGCGUAGAUAUAUGGAAGAACACCAGUGGCGAAAGCGGCUCUCUGGUCUGUAACUGACGCUGAGGUUCGAAAGCGUGGGUAGCAAACAGGAUUAGAUACCCCUGUAGUC
rnacentral:rRNA from 1 species